AGAGUUUGAUCCUGGCUCAGGAUGAACGCUAGCUACAGGCUUAACACAUGCAAGUCGAGGGGAAACGAUAGGGAAAGCUUGCUUUUCCUAGGCGUCGACCGGCGCACGGGUGAGUAACGCGUAUCCAACCUGCCCAUGUCUGGGGAAUAACCCGUCGAAAGGCGGACUAACUCCCCAUGGUCUCCGAUGAGGACAUCUGAAUUGGAGUAAAGCUUCGCGGACAUGGAUGGGGAUGCGUCUGAUUAGGUAGUAGGCGGGGUAACGGCCCACCUAGCCUACGAUCAGUAGGGGUUCUGAGAGGAAGGUCCCCCACAUUGGAACUGAGACACGGUCCAAACUCCUACGGGAGGCAGCAGUGAGGAAUAUUGGUCAAUGGACGAGAGUCUGAACCAGCCAAGUAGCGUGCAGGAUGACGGCCCUAUGGGUUGUAAACUGCUUUUAUAAGGGAAUAAAGUGAGUCUCGUGAGACUUUUUGCAUGUACCUUAUGAAUAAGGACCGGCUAAUUCCGUGCCAGCAGCCGCGGUAAUACGGAAGGUCCGGGCGUUAUCCGGAUUUAUUGGGUUUAAAGGGAGCGUAGGCCGUGAGGUAAGCGUGUUGUGAAAUGUAGGCGCCCAACGUCUGCACUGCAGCGCGAACUGCCCCACUUGAGUGCGCGCAACGCCGGCGGAACUCGUCGUGUAGCGGUGAAAUGCUUAGAUAUGACGAAGAACCCCGAUUGCGAAGGCAGCUGGCGGGAGCGUAACUGACGCUGAAGCUCGAAAGCGCGGGUAUCGAACAGGAUUAGAUACCCUGGUAGUCCGCGCGGUAAACGAUGGAUGCCCGCUGUGGCGCGCCUGGCGUGCCGCGGCUAAGCGAAAGCAUUAAGCAUCCCACCUGGGGAGUACGCCGGCAACGGUGAAACUCAAAGGAAUUGACGGGGGCCCGCACAAGCGGAGGAACAUGUGGUUUAA
rnacentral:rRNA from 1 species